rnacentral:rRNA from 1 species
GGCGAAGCUGACAGCAUACAGCGUGUGUGAAGAAGGCUUACGGUUGUAUAGCACUUUCAAUUGGAAGGAAAAACUCAUGGCCAAUACCCGUGAGCUUGACAUUACCUUUAGAAGAAGCACCGGCUAACUCCGUGCCAGCAGCCGCGGUAAUACGGAGGGUGCAAGCGUUAAUCGGAAUUACUGGGCGUAAAGCGUGCGUAGGCGGCUCGCUAAGCCAGAUGUGAAAGCCCCGGGCUCAACCUGGGAACGGCAUUUGAAACUGGCAAGCUAGAGUUUAGGAGAGGAGAGUGGAAUUUCAGGUGUAGCGGUGAAAUGCGUAGAGAUCUGAAGGAACACCAGUGGCGAAGGCGACUCUCUGGCCUAAAACUGACGCUGAGGUACGAAAGCGUGGGUAGCAAACAGGAUUAGAUACCCUGGUAGUCCACGCCGUAAACGAUGUCAACUAGCCGUUGGCUCUCUUAGAGAGUUAGUCGGCGCAGCUAACGCAUUAAGUUGACCGCCUGCGGAGUACGGCCGCACGGUUAAAACUCACCUGAAUCGACGGCGGCCCGCACAAGCGGUGGA